GGGGAGCGCAGAGAGGGAGCUCCCUGCUUGGGAGCUGGAGCGCCCGGUGUCCGGCCGUCCUCACUACGGACUGCGGACUGCGGUGUCCUGUGGUCUUGCGUGACCCGGCGCGUACCCGUCCUGCCAGGCGUCGGUCCCAGAGCCCAUGAGCCUCCUUCGCCUGGCGUCUGUCGCACUCUCCGCACCACACACCCCGCUACGGCUGCUCGCGAGAGGGCUGGCCGCCAUGGCGGAGCCGCUUAAGUCUGUGGACUACGAAGUGUUCGGGACAGUGCAAGGUGUUUGCUUCAGAAUGUAUACAGAAGGAGAAGCUAAGAAAAGAGGUCUGGUUGGCUGGGUGAAGAAUACAAGCAAAGGCACAGUGACAGGUCAAGUUCAAGGCCCUGAAGAAAAGGUCAAUUCCAUGUACUUUUUCAGGAAUACAGAGGCUGCAUUUACUGCUCCAUUGCUGCCUCCAUUUCUUCCUG
rnacentral:lncRNA from 1 species